UUCAAUAACACAGCAUCACCUGAAGUGACCAUUUCAACUGCCGAUGUACUGGAGACCAUGACGACGGCAGCAACCAACACCUCCGCUGGCGGAAUCUCCUUUGAUCCUGAAUCUAUUGUUGUCACAGAAACGCCAACCUCAACGACAGCACCAACAACUACGGCAACUCCAGAACCCUCAGUUUCUACUGUGUCUUUCACGGUAGAGGCUACAAUAUCAAAGCCUUUCACUGCAGAGUUAACAGACCAAACGACUACAGAGUUUCAAGAUCUGCAAACAACUGUUGUGACAUCUUGCGAUGCGAUCUUCCUGGAGGCCUAUGGGUCGAUUUUCAUCACCACCCUUGUCCUUGGAUUCAGGUAAAUGAUCCUUCUUAAAUAACCAAAAUUUCCAU